AUUUUUAAAAGCAGAAUUUUCCCAUUUUCUUUUCAUCUUUUCUCUCUUUCAAGAGAACAUGCGGGGGAAGGCCAAAACCCUAGCUCCGCCGCGGUCGCCGCCCCUGCUUGCCCGAGCCAUCUUCAGCCGCCCACGACGCGGCUCAAGCAUCAGUUCUUUUAAUAUUUUGUUUCUGUUUUAUUUCGUCUUUGAAAAUUGGAGGACAAGACAUCCGCGAUGGACCUUCACCGCGGCCACCGCCGGCCUCUCUCUCUGGCUUCUCCAAUUGCAGUGUUUUAGCAGGCUUGAUAUGUUAGCGCACAUAUAAGGGGACUAAAAAUGGAAGUUAGAAGAAACUCGAAAGACAUACAUCAGCUGGUGUAUUCCAAGGAAGUCAUAAGAGUAAAGAAGAUUGAAGACAUUUAAAUUUCACUUGUAUUGCAUUUAGUUUUUCUAUUUGGUCUGUAAUAGUAAAUAGGAAAUGAUAUGUAAUAAUUAAUGCAUUGCAUGCAUGAUAUGGAUAAAAGUUCAGUGAUGACUAUAAA